rnacentral:tRNA from 1 species
GGGCCUUUAGCUCAACGGUUAGAGCAGCAGACUCAUAAUCUGUUGGUUACUGGUUCGAAUCCAGUAAGGCCCA